rnacentral:rRNA from 1 species
CCCGCUGAACUUAAGCAUAUCAAUAAGCGGAGGAAAAGAAACUAACAAGGAUUCCCUUAGUAACUGCGAGUGAAGUGGGAAAAGCUCAAAUUUAAAAUCUGGUAGUCUUUGGCUGCCCGAGUUGUAAUCUAGAGAAGUGUUUUCCGCGCUGGACUGUGUACAAGUUUCCUGGAUAUGGAACAUCAUAGAGGGUGAGAAUCCCGUCCUUGACACAGACUCCCAGUGCUUUGUGAUGCGCUCUCAACGAGUCGAGUUGUUUGGGAUUGCAGCUCAAAAUGGGAGGUAAAUUCCUUCUAAAGCUAAAUAUUGGCGAGAGACCGAUAGCGAACAAGUACCGUGAGGGAAAGAUGAAAAGCACUUUGGAAAGAGAGUUAAACAGUACGUGAAAUUGUUAAAAGGGAAACGAUUGAAGUCAGUCACGUUGACUUGGAAUCAGCUCUGCUUUUGCUGGGUGUACUUUCUUGUCAAUGGGUCAGCAUCAAUUUUGACCAUUGGAUAAAGUUGCUGGGAAUGUAGCAUCCUUUUGGAUGUGUUAUAGCCUGGUGAUGCAUACAGUGGUUGGGAUUGAGGAAUUCAGCACGCCACCAGGCCGGGUUUUGACCACGUUCGUGCUUAGGAUGCUGGCAUAAUGGCUUUAAUUGACCCGUCUUGAAACACGG